CGUGAUUGAUGAUUGCGCUACGCGUGAGUACGUGGUGCUAUCAUCGGUGGGUUAGGAUCAGUAGGAAAUCGUCGAAAGAUUUUUUUAAGGAGUUUGUGAUUGUUUUGAAUAUUUCACACGGAAUCUGUACUUAUGAAUGGCCGAUGGAUCAGCACACGAAAAAGAAUCGUUGUGCAUUCGAGCAAUCGCCGGUAAUCAGCGAAACGAAAACUAACAAGGAUGAGCCAUGCGAAGGUACAAAAAGAUUAUCGUAGGCAUAGUGAAGUCCGUUAUAGAAAAAUAGGAAAGAGAAAUUUGCCACCGAAUAAAAUGGUGGGAUUGGGCAGCGACGAGUUGUUUAUUUCAAACAUUGUCGAUGUGAACAACAUGGAAUUGGAAAUUAGCUCCGAAGAUGAGAGUGACGAAAACGAGAGUGAUAUAAGACGGCUGAUACCGUCGCCGGUGGAUAACGAGAGCGUCAAUUAUAACGGCGGAAAAAGGGAUAAUCAGAGGGAUGAAACGGAAAACGUAGACGACGAAAACGUCUGGUCUAUAUCCAUCCAGAUGUUCAUACCUUUCUUGCUUGCUGGUUUUGGCAUGGUCGCAGCCAGUUUGCUACUAGAUGUGGUGCAGCAUUGGCCAGUGUACCAGGUGGUAUCCGAGGUAUACAUAUUAGUUCCUGCAUUAUUGGGCUUGAAGGGAAAUUUGGAGAUGACAUUGGCCUCUAGGCUGUCGACUCAGGCUAAUUUAGGACAAAUGGAUACAAAAAAACAGCAAUGGACGUUAAUUGUUGGUAAUUUAGCCUUAAUCCAGUGUCAAGCUAUGGUGGUAGGCUUGCUGGCAUCCUUGGCUGCUGUUAUCCUUGGUUGGGUUCCGGAGGCUCACUUUGACAUACAUCACGGACUCUUACUGUGCGCCAGUGCCUUGGUCACCGCUUCCGUAGCCAGCUUUCUACUUGGCCUCGUGAUGGUUGCGGUCAUACUACUGUCACGACAAAUGAAUAUCAAUCCUGACAACGUUGCCACCCCAAUCGCGGCCUCUUUAGGGGAUUUAACUACUUUAGCUCUUUUAUCCUGGAUCGCUUCUUUAUUAUACAAUGCAAUAGGUUAUGCUCCAUGGAUAGCCCCAACAUUAAUAGCAUUUUGUGUAUUUGUAACUCCCAUAUGGGGUUACAUAGCAGCUAGAAAUCCAUUUACUAAGGAAGUAUUGGAUUAUGGCUGGACGCCUGUGAUAUCCGCAAUGUUAAUCAGCAGUCUUGGUGGACUGAUUUUGGACUAUACCAUAUCCAGUUACAAGGGCAUAGCGGUUUUUCAAUUAGUAAUUAAUGGCGUUGGGGGAAACUUGGUCGCUGUUCAGGCCAGUAGAAUAUCGACGUCUUUGCAUAAAGAUUACAAUACGGGUGUUCAAGGAACUCUCAACGUUUGCAUUAGUCCAUUCCAUGCGUUUUUCGCUAAAGGAGGACACGCGAGGACGGCUAGAGUAUUACUAAUGAUGGUGAUACCGGGACAUUUGAUCUUUAGUUAUACCAUUAGUUACCUUCAAGCAGGACAUACCUCGUUUACUCCUAUAUUUAUUACGAUAUAUUUGAUUGCUGCAAUGUUACAGGUCGUUUUAUUGUUGUACAUUGCACAAAUGAUGGUUGUUUGGAUGUGGACGCGAGGUAUGGACCCAGACAGUUCCGCAAUACCAUACUUAACAGCGGCUGGUGAUCUUAUAGGAACUGCACUUCUCGGAAUUGCUUUCCAUAUUCUUUAUGCUAUAGGCGACGGCGAUUCUGAUGUAGGAGAUUGAUUGGUCCGAAAAUUCGUGCAAUACUCUGAAUUUUUCGUAAUCUUACAGGUUAUAGUCUUCAAAACCAUUUUUAAAAAGUGAAUACGUGAGUUUUACUUUUGAAAUAAAACUAGAUACAAAAUUACUUGACAUCUCUUUGUAUAGAGAGUAUGUUAAGAGUACAAAUUAAAUUAAGUAUAUAUUUAUUAGAACUAUAUUGGACGCAAGAAAGAAAGAUGCAGUAUUAAUAAUAUUGAUACCACUUUGUCAAAUUACGUUCUAACAAAAUCACGAAAAUUAAAAUAAACAAAUAACGACAAAUCUUGAAAUAAAAGUGUGGUAUGUAUGUUAAUAUAUACCAUGAGCCAAUUGUAAAUAAAUGCAUAUAUUCCUAUAUUUUAUGCUAUAUAUAUAUUCAAAAGUAUUGUCAUAUAAUAUUUU
rnacentral:misc_RNA from 1 species